AGCCUCCACCGUGCUCUGCGCGUGUGUUGCUAGGUGUGGCUGCUUCCUCGAAGUUCAAGCCUGGUUUUGAGGUGACCCUCGGCUCGGGUGACAGUUUAAAAGGCAAAGGACAUGAGUUAGCUGGUAAACAGUCCAAACAGAUCUGAGGACUGGAGAGAGAGCUCAGUGAUUAAGAGCACUGGAUGCUUUUGCAAAGGACCUGGGUUCACUUUGCAGCACCUGCAUGAUGGCUCACACAUUUCUAUGAUGGCAGUCCUUCUGACCUCUGCAGGCACAGCAUACAUGUGCUACCCAGACAUACAUACAAGCAAAACACCCAUAAACAAAAAUACACCCCCAAGUUAGAAAUAUGACACAUUCCUAAAGGCAAUUCCACUGUCUGAGUCUCCUGAAUACUGGCAUUAUAGACUUGUGCCACCAUGCUCAAUGACAUUAUCAGCUUAAAUGACCAUGGUUGUACAUGUGGCCUCUUAAGUCUGCAGUGUUUUCAUGCUGUGCAUGGCCCUCUUGGAAACAGUUGUCAGCCCUCUUGACCUUGAGCACCUUGGACUGUGGCUUCGUGUCCUCUCACCUGCCCUGAAGCUGACCUCUGCAGCUCACACUUUUCACCCCAUGCCUGUCUGUUGCCUGCCAGGCCACAUUGACUUUUCUCACCAGUGACUUUCUGUAAAUUAUCUUCCUAACUCCUGACAGCUGCUAAUGUAACUUCCUAUGGAUUGCUGGUCCUGAACAGAGAAAUCAACCGGUUCUGAGGAGGGCAUUGUACUUUAUAACAUCUUAAAAGAAACUAUGAAGUCAAGUGUUGCUUUGAUCUUAGCAUGCUCUGGAUAAAUAAAGAUUAUGAUCU
rnacentral:lncRNA from 1 species